CUGGAUUCGCUAGUAAUCGCGCAUCAGCCAUGGCGCGGUGAAUACGUUCCCGGGCCUUGUACACACCGCCCGUCAAGCCAUGGGAGCCGGGAGCGCUUGAAGUGCGUCGCCGCGAGGCGCGCCCUAGAGCGAGACCGGUGACUGGGGUUAAGUCGUAACAAGGUAUC
rnacentral:rRNA from 1 species